GUUCCCAGGCUAGGGGUCGAAUUGGAGCUGUAACUGCCAGCCUACACCAGAGCCAGAGCAACACGGGGCCACAUCUGUGACCUACACCACAGCUCAGAGCAACACUGGAUCCUUAACCCACUGAGUGAGGCCAGGGAUUGAACCCACAUCCUCAUGGAUCCUAGUAAGGAUUGUUAGCCGCUGAGCCAUAAAGAGAACUCCACAUAUGUAAUUUUAAAUGUUAUUGUAGAUCAAAAAGCUAAAAAUAAAUGUGAAAUUAUUUCAAUACUUUUACUUAAUCCAAUGCAUGUAAAAUAUCAUCUUAAUAUAUAAUCGAUUAAAAACAUGUGAAUAUACUUCAUAAUCUCUUUUUAUACUAAGUCUUCAAAAUCUCGUACUUUAUAUUUGAAGCAUAUCUCAGUUCAGACCAAUAUAUUUCAAGUGCCUAAGAGUAACAUAUGGCUAGUGGCCAUGGUACUAAACUGAGACAGCCUUAAGGAAGGAGGAAUAGCAGCCAGGAAUCUACAUAGAUGGCAAAAUAACAAAGUCAUUCUUUGACAUGCUCAAGUUUAAGAACCACCACUCUAGAUGGCUCUGUGCGCAAUCCAUUCUACAAACAUUACUGAAUUACACUUGAAAAAAACGCCCUUGAAAUUACAUCAAUUCUAAGAAUUUAGAAAUCCUUGGUAGUUCAAUCAACUCAGAGUUGUAGUCAAAACUCCUUAAAAGUGCCCUCACCUCAUCCACCCAACCUGCUCUCCUACUGGAAAAUAUUUUGGGUCCUCCCAUGAAGCUUUCUUAGCAAAUAUCCAAAUAUUCAUUCAACAAAUAUUUGUGGAGCACCCACUAAAUGUCAUCAUGAAUCCUCUGCCAAAACAGAAGAUACGAAACAAAUCUUUAAAUAAUGACAACAUAAUUGUUCUCACUGUAAUAAUGAAAAGGUAUGCUCUGAUAUGGCACUAUGAUAUGGUAAUGUGUUAGAGCAGAACCUUAUAAUCUGAGGAGUAAAUGAAACUGUAUUUAAUACAGCAAAUUUAAGUUUUUAAAAACAUAAUCAGAAAUUUGAACAGAUAUAACAAAACUUCUGCAUAGAGACAGCACACUAGGAAAAGCCAAGUUGGGGAAGUUACUAAAGGAGUAAGCAGAUUAGGAUAGUAACCUGGGGCUGCCCAGAUAGACAGAAGCCAGAUAAGAUUAAAUUUGUGAGCCUUUGACUUUUUAAACAAAACUAGAUUACAAACUUCUCAAAAACUACAGACCAUGCUUUCUAAGUCUUAAUUAUUUCUUAUACUGUCUCAAAGAACACAAAGAAAGUAUUAAAUACUUUAUCUAUAUUGGAAAUCUCAUACUUGGGCAGCUUCUAGAACCUCCAAAAUUAUACUAAAGAUUAUUUGCAUCUUCAGAUAACUUAAAAACUGUAUUAUUAUGAAACAAAAAGAAGUCUUUCAUGAAGUGUUAAGUUGUAAAUUCCUUAGAAAGAGAGGCAAUUUCUACAUGGAGUAAGGUGGGCAUCAAGCUCUAUCAGCUAGAAGCCAAAAUCCUGGUGGAAGGAAUGAAAAGACGGUGAUUUAAACACACACACACUUGUACCACAGAAACUAAAGGACGUAAGGAAAAUGUUAUUGGAUCAAAUCAACUUAUUACAUAUUAUACCUGUUUCAGUCUUUAAACUGAUCAAGUUUUGAUAUAUAACACUGAAUAGGCAGAGUUCUAAGGGCGUCCUCAAAAUUUGUGGCCUCCAGGGAGCCUAUCCUAUAGAAUCCCUCCACUUUAGUGUGGCCAGAGUAGUGAUUAUUAGGAGUUAUCACUUUGAGGAUUAGGUUCAUCAAAGAGGAAAUUAUCUGACUGGGUCUGACCUAAUCACUUGAGCCUUUAAAAGGGACCUCCCAGAAGUCAGAGACUGGAAGCCUGAGAUUUAUGGAAGGGCUACCUGGCAAAAGCACAAGACUGGCCUCUGCCAACAGCUGGCAAGCCAGUGAGGACAUCAGUCCAAGAACAAGGAUAUUAAGUCUACCAAGAACCAAGGGCCUCAGAAGAGGACCCCUGAUUUUAGGUAAGAUCCCACUUGCAGACAAAUGCCCUUAUUUCAAACUAGUGAAGACUACAAAUAAACUUGUUUCAAAACAACUGACAUGCACAUUAGUUGCGCGCUCUUUAGUACUUCUCAUCCUAACAAUAAAAUUCAAAAUUAACGGAAAAGUUCUUCAGUGUUGAAAGGCCUUUUUGGUGAAGUGACCUUACUCCUGACCAGUCGCCGAAGGAUGGCGGGGUGCAGAGUGCAAGCUGGACCAUCAGAGACAGCCUCAGGCUGCCCCCAGACUGAGCCUAGCAGAGGGUCGGGGUGAGGAGUAGACGUGAGCUUUGCCCAGAACAGACAAGGGAAAGAAGAAUGGACGCAGUUCAUCCCUUUAAUCCCUAAACCAAUUUCUCAGGAAAAGCCGCGCGCCCACAAGUAAUCAGGGUCUCUAAUAAAACUGUGGUGCGCACGCAGUAGCUUUAGAAACUCCCAAAGCAUCUGAGGAGUUCCGCCCGCCCACUAAGAAUCACUGGGGCUACUUAAGGUACAGCUAGCAGACAGAUCGGAGCAUUUUCAAAAUAUCUUUCAAACUCAGGAGUUGUGCUCCUUACCCCUUCUUACCCCUACUCAAGGCGCGGCCACUAAAACCGCGAUAUACCGUCUUUGCCGCAAGCCCCCAGCUAGCCAACCAACAACCGCAGGAGUUCCACAAGGAACCCACCGCGACG
ensembl:lncRNA